ACUUGCCCCUCCCCCAGAAAAGCAGGACUUGCCACUAAGGGUGAAGGAGAAGGGGUUGAGGGGUACUUGCCCCUCCCCCAGAAAAGCAGGACUUGCCACUAAGGGUGAAGGAGAAGCGGUUGAGGGGUACUUGCCCCUGCCCCAGAAAAGCAGGACUUGCCACUAAGGGUGAAGGAGAAGGGGUUGAGGGGUACUUGCCCCUCUCCCAGAAAAGCAGAGAAGGGGUAGAGACAAGGAGAGAAGGGGUUGGGGUACUUGCCCUUCCCCAGAAAAGCAGGACUUGCCGCUAAGGGUGAAGGACCAAGGCAGGCGUCCCUGCGUGGUCUGACACCCUUGAAACAUGAGUGUAUAAUCAGAGGCGUCCCUGCAAUGAUUAAACACCAAGGGAAGGCUGCCUUCCCAGUCCAUGACCGGCGCCGGAGUUUUGGGUCCACGGAUUUGUCUCUACCAGAAAAUGAAAGGAAUUGAAAUUAAGAGAAGGGAGAAAUUGAAGUGUGGCACCAAGAUUGAAAGGAGAAAGAGGUUGAGGGAUAGUGAGGGAGGUUGGAGAAGAGAGUAAAAAGAGGCCGCUUGCCGGAUUUGAAAUUGGUGAGAUGUUUCUUGGGCUGGUCACUCUGAGGACCUGAGGUCGUAGGUGGAUCUUUCUCAUGGAGCAAAGAACAGGAGGACAGGGGAUUGAUCUCCCAAGGGAGGUCCCCCGAUCCGAGUCACGGCACCAAAUCUCAUGCGCGUCCGUAUGAAGAGACCACCAAACAGGCUUUGUGGAGAAGAUGUCGAAGACACAGGAGAAGACAAGCCAGGGAGAGGGGCUUAGAGCAGAUUCUCCCUUGCAGCCUCAGAAGGAAUCAGUCCUGGUCACACCUUGAUCUCAGACUUCUGGCCUCCAGAAUGAAAAGAGGCAGUUUGGGCAUAGGGUGGCAGGAAGAAGGGAGAGGUUCUUUACGGAGUGUGUGAUCCGCAUGAGAUGGCAUGCCGAGUGCCAUCUUUGCAUGGCUUUAUUUUUACUUUUAAAGAUGAGAAAGCUAAAAUGGAAUGUCUAAAAGAGUAUACAGGUCCUAAAGCCACACAGCCAGGGUGAUGGAAAUAUGAUAUGAUUCAAAUCCAGACUCAGCGGCCCUAAAUACUGUGCUUCAAUCUUUAAAACCCAAAAUACAUGUGGACCAAUGUUUGGAGCAACAAGAGGCUGUGCCUUUCUACAUUGUCUAACUUUAGGGAGAGAAGCCUUCAAGACACGGAGAGACCUGGCCCCAUGGAGAGAAAGAGCGAUUCACACCUAGGAAGGUAUAGUGUAGCCAGCAGUGCUCAGGAGACAGCACCAGAUUUUUGCUGGUAGCAGCAGCAAAAAUGGCAAAAUGAGGACUUUUGAGAAUUCCUUUCUCUAUGGAAACAAAACCCUGGGGGAAAAUGGUCUGAAUCAACCUUUUCAGAACUCUGGAAAUUAGCCCGAGACUUGAAGCAAUUCAGGUUGCAUUUGUAUAAGAAAAGUGACAGAAUCUCAGUAAGAACAGCAAGCUUUGAAGGAUUUGAACUUGCCCAGUUGCCUUCCUUCUUUCUCCAUCUCUGCAGGGGACUUAAAACCAACAUCCCACACUCAUAAUGAAAACCUGGCAGGAGGCAGAACAGGAUUGGAGCUGCUUCAAAGCCUUAGGUCCAGAGAACUCAUCACCUAUGCAGAUCCUCAAUAAGACUCAAAGCUGAUUCCGCCUCAGAAACCAUGGAGACCCAAAGCCAAAUUCAAAGUGCUGAAAGUUAACUCAUCCAAUCAGUCAACUCUUGUACAGACCUCCUUUUUUUUUGUUCUUGGAGUUUGUUUUAUUCUAAUAAAGGUGUUUUAUAUUGUUGUUGUAUUAUUCUUAAAUACCAUAUUUUAGUUGCUAUUAUAAAUGGUACUUCUAUUGCCGUUUUGUCUAACAUUUUCUGGUGGUCAAAUUUCUAGCUAGUGUGGAAGAACACUGAUGGUUUUUACUUAUUGAUUUUCUCUCUGGCAAUCUCACUAAACCUUAUGAUAAGUAAUAAACCUUAUGAUAGUAGAAAAGGUUGAUAUGAUAUGAUAGUAGUAAUCCUCUGGAUUACCCAUCCCCUCUUGAUAAUCUCUGUUGAAAUAAUCACAUUAUGUGCAACUAAUGACAAUGUCACUGCUCUUAUAGUCUCUAUGUGCAUUUCUUUUUCUUGUCUUACUGCUUUGACUCAUUCAGUUGACUGCCAUUCACAGAACAGAUGUGGAACGGUUGUUUUCGUUAUCAUGUGCCUAAAAAGAAUGUGAUUAAAAUUUGCCAGUUCAAUAUAAUAUUGGAUGUAGGGUUUUAAUAAAUAACUUUCAACAAACUGCAAGAGUCAUCUUCCCUUUCUAGUAUUCUAAUG
rnacentral:lncRNA from 1 species